rnacentral:rRNA from 1 species
GAAUCUGGCUUUAGGUCUGGGACAACCACUGGAAACGGUGGCUAAUACCGGAUGUGCCCUUCGGGGUGAAAGGUUAACUGCCUGAAGAUGAGCUCGCGUCUGAUUAGCUAGUUGGAAGUGUAAUGGACUCCCAAGGCGACGAUCAGUAGCUGGUCUGAGAGGACGAUCAGCCACACUGGGACUGAGACACGGCCCAGACUCCUACGGGAGGCAGCAGUGGGGAAUUUUCCGCAAUGGGCGAAAGCCUGACGGAGCAAUACCGCGUGAGGGAGGAAGGCUCUUGGGUCGUAAACCUCUUUUCUCAGGGAAGAAAACAAUGACGGUACCUGAGGAAUAAGCAUCGGCUAACUCCGUGCCAGCAGCCGCGGUAAUACGGAGGAUGCAAGCGUUAUCCGGAAUGAUUGGGCGUAAAGCGUCCGCAGGUGGCAAUGUAAGUCUGCUGUUAAAGAGUCUAGCUCAACUAGAUACAAGCAGUGGAAACUACAUAGCUAGAGUACGUUCGGGGCAGAGGGAAUUCCUGGUGUAGCGGUGAAAUGCGUAGAGAUCAGGAAGAACACCAGUGGCGAAGGCGCUCUGCUAGGCCGUAACU